GCCUAAGUAAUAGACAGGGUGUUGUUAUGUUAUAUAAGAAGGAAUGCGGGAAGUCAGUAACUUUAUGUAAAUAAUCUUUUCUGCCUUCAAAUAAAAUCAAUUCUUUGCAUUUUUGGAAUUAAAAAUUUUAGGUCUUCAUGCAAAAUACUGUAAAACUUAAAGAAAGACAUACUUUGGAAUUUAUUGGUAAAUUAUUAAAUUUAGGCUUAAGCCUUAAACACAGUGUUUUACUUUUAGGGCAUAACGUUAGUUUUCGGGUAAUAACUUUUCUAAUACAUUAGUAGCUUCGUUUUCUGCAAAUCCAUGGUCAGUGAACUUACAUAUACAGCAGUUUUAACAGACUCUCCAACUCAGUUUGUAAAAGAUCUUCCUUUCAAAAUGUCUGGUCAUGCAAAACGAAAAUGGGAAGUAUUUCCUGGAAGAAACAAGUUUUACUGCGAUGGACGAAUCAUGAUGGCUCGGCAAACAGGAGUGUUUUAUUUCACCGUUGGCCUGAUUGUAGUGACAUGCACCUUGUUUUUUAUCUUUGAUUGCCCUUAUCUGACAGAAGAAAUUAGCCCUGCAAUUCCAGCUAUAGCUGUGGUACUUUUUUUGUUUGUUAUGACUUCACUACUAAGAACAAGCUUCAGUGACCCUGGUGUUAUCCCUCGUGCUACUCCAGAAGAGGCGGCUGAUAUAGAAAAACAAAUCGCAGAAGUGCCAAAUGGUUCAAGUUCUCCAACAUACAGACCACCACCAAGAACUAAAGAAAUUGCUAUUCGAGGACAAACUGUGAAACUGAAAUACUGCUUCACAUGUAAAAUCUUUCGUCCUCCAAGGGCUUCCCAUUGUAGUUUAUGUGAUAAUUGUGUAGACAGAUUUGAUCACCAUUGCCCAUGGGUAGGAAACUGUGUUGGCCGAAGAAAUUACAAAUACUUCUACAUGUUCAUUAUGUCUUUAGCCUUUCUGUGUGUCUUCAUAUUUGGCUGUAUCAUUGCCCAUCUUGUCCUAGUUUCCAGGAAAACAAACUUUCUUGAAGCUGUUAAAGAAUCACCAGCAAGUGUUGUGGAAGGUGUGGUAUGUUUUUUUUCAGUUUGGUCAAUCCUAGGUCUAGCAGGAUUUCACACAUACUUGACUACUUCAAACCAAACAACGAAUGAAGAUAUCAAAGGUUCCUUCUCCAACCGAAGAGGACGGGAUGUUUUUAAUCCUUAUAGUCAAGGAUCAUUUAUCAGCAACUGUGUUACAGUAUUAUGUGUGGCAUCCCCUCCUAGUGUAAUAGACAGAAGAGGAUACAUGGUUCCUGAAGGAAGUAUUUCAGGCCCAGGAAAUUAUGGAGCAGUGAAAGUGGGUCACCUCAAGAAUGGAACUCCAGGUGCUACAGCUACUUUAACCAGCCAGAUAAAUACUUCUCAAGGUUAUCCAAAUCCUCUUCCAUUCAUACAGUCUACUAAUGGCAGUUUACGUGGUAUCCGGGAUGGAACGUACCAAAAUAUUGGUUCACCAGGUAGGGUAGGUGCAAACCAUUGAAAUCAUAUGGGCUAAAAGGAAAGAAGUGAGAACACUCGCUUGUUAUGUGACAACAAAAAUCGUGGCAACAUCCCAAUAGCUGUUGUCUCACCACAAUCUCGAACCCAUAGCAAAGCUGAUGAAGAC
rnacentral:misc_RNA from 1 species